rfam:Paxillus rubicundulus Ve08.2h10 scaffold_522_c1, whole genome shotgun sequence.
UCUCUGGUAGUAUAUCGGAUAGUACAUCCGCCUGUCAAGCAAAUACGGUAACGCGGAAGAGCGGGGUUCGACUCCCCGCCAGAGAG